rnacentral:tRNA from 1 species
AUUUAGGUAGUUUAUAAAAACAUUGAAUUGUGGUUUCAAAAAUACACAUUUGUGUCCUAAAUC